UCUGGUUGAUCCUGCCAGUAGUCAUAUGCUUGUCUCAAAGAUUAAGCCAUGCAUGUCUAAGUCCAAGCUGUGUCGUGACACGGCGAGACCGCGGACGGCUCAUUAAAUCAGUCGUGGUCCAAAUGGGCCAGAAAGAGUUACUUGGAUAACUGUGGUAAUUCCAGAGCUAAUACAUGCAACUAGACCUUGAUGCCAGGGCCUUCGGGCUUGGUGGGAGCGUGCGUUGAAGCUUGUCUUCUUCCUCGUUCUCGGGCAGACGGGUGCUUUUAUUAGACCAAACCGCUGGGGGAGUCGAUCCUUGCACCAACGGCAGUUCGCUCGCACUUUGUGUGUUGUGUUCGGUCGGCUUGGUUUCGUGCUCUCGUAUCCCACGAUGUGGUGAAUCUGGAUAACCAUCAUGCCGAGCGCACGUACUGACUUUGUGUCAGACGGCGCCGCCACUUUCGAGUGUCUGCCUUAUCAGCUUUCAAUCGCUCGCUACACGCGACCGGUGGCUUUGACGGGUAACGGAGAAUCAGGGUUUGAUUCCGGAGAGGCAGCCUGAGAGACGGCUACCACGUCCAAGGACGGCAGCAGGCACGCAAAUUACCCAAUCCCAGCACAUGGGGGAGGUAGUGACAGAAAUAUAACGAUGCGGGCGCCCCUCGCGGGCCCCGCAAUCGGAAUGAGCUUGUGGUAAAAAUCCAGCUGAGAACCUACUGAAGGGCAAGUCUGGUGCCAGCAGCCGCGGUAAUUCCAGCUUCAGUAGCGUAUAUUAAAGUUGCUGCGGUUAAAAGGCUCGCAGUUGAAUGUCAGUGCCGGGCGUUGGCGGGUGGACGUUGGGGCGAGGGCACCCACGGUUUUCUUGGCGUGUCUCGUCGUUUCGCGGCGAUGGCGCGUUGAGGGCCGGCCUUACGUCUCCGUCCGUGACAAGCCCCCGCGCUCGUGUACACAUUGGGAUCGAUAUGGUUCUGACAGUGGUGUGAGUAGUCGUCCGUGUCUGCCGUUCGCGGCGCCGGGCGGCUGCCGCCCUGUUAUAGAAUUACGGUCCCGUGGCACCUCGAGCAAAUCAGAGUGCUCAAGGCAGUCGCAAGGGGCUUCCUCACGGGAGCCCCGGUAUUUAUGGCAGACUUGGUAAAGCAUGGAAUGUCGAAAGACGAUGACGGGUGCAGGCCAGGGGAUUCCCCAUUGGUGGUGGCGGCUUUAGCCUGCCCCGUCGUAAUGAUUAAAAGGGCUUGUCGAGGGCACUGGUAUUGCGGAGCGAGAGGUGAAAUUCUGUGACCUCCGCAAGACCUCCUGAAGCGAAAGCGUCUGCCAAGGAUGCUUUCAUUAAUCAUGAACGAAAGUUAGAGGAUCGAAGGCGAUCAGAUACCGCCCUAGUUCUAACCCUAAACGAUACCAACCAUCAAUCCGCGUGAGCACCCUUUCGCACGGGCUCGGCGGGCAGCUCCUACCACGGGAAACCAGAGUCUCUGGGUUCCGGGGGGAGUCUGGUUGCAAAGCUGAAACUUAAAGGAAUUGACGGAAAGGCACCACCAGGCGUGGAGCCUGCGGCUUAAUUUGACUCAACACGGGACAUCUCACCAGGCCAGCACUCUAGCAUGAUUGACAGAUUGAGAGCUCUUUCUCGAUUUAGUGGAUGGUGGUGCAUGGCCGUUCUUAGUUGGUGGAGUGAUCUGUCUGGUUAAUUCCGAUAACGAACGAGACUCUCCCCUGCUAACUAGUCGGUUGGAUCUUUUCCCCAGUGGGUUAGUGUAAGACUUGUGGUGGUUGUCGUGUGCGUUGCUGCCGGGUUCUGUUGGGAGCUGUGCUCCGCGUGUGGGGGUUUAUGCUCUCGUGCGUUGGCGGCAUACGCUCUUGGCGUCCUGGUGUGCGCGCUCGCGCUCCCUCUUGUCUUCCUGCCCCAAGUCCGCCGUCUAUUCAAUAUCUUCUUAGAGGGAUCCACGGCUCUGAAGCCGUCAGAGACUGAGAGCAAUAACAGGUCUGUGAUGCCCUUAGAUGCUCUGGGCCGCACGCGCGCUACAAUGCCGGGCUCAGCAGGUGUCUUCCCUGUCCCGAGAGGGACGGGUAACCCUUUGAAAGCCCCUGCUCGCUAUGAUGCGUUGGCGCCCCUCACGGGGUAGGCUCACACUUUGUGUGGGUCGUGCCUUCGUCUAGGCGUGCUUGGGCCUGGGGCUUGCAAUUGUUCCCCACAAACGAGGAAUGCCUAGUAGCGGUGGGUCACUGAGCCCACCGUGACUUAGUCCCUGCCCUUUGUACACACCGCCCGUCGCUACUACCGAUUGGGUGUACCAGUGAGAGCCUUGGACUGGCGGUCAGCUUCCCGUCCCCGGGAGGCAUGACACGACUGAAAGAGGUACGAACUGGUGCACUUAGAGGAAGUAAAAGUCGUAACAAGGUUUCCGUAGGUGAACCUGCGGAAGGAUCAUUAA
rnacentral:rRNA from 1 species